rnacentral:lncRNA from 1 species
UUCAGCUUCUUGGACUUGAACUGAAACCAUGCAUACAAGACAAAAAGGAUAUAUCAAUCCAUGUAAAUAUUUUUAGCCUAUAUGUGCAUUGCCCAUGUGUUCCUUUUGUUGGCUGAUUGCAUGUAGCAGCCUCUUUUCCAAGCCAAUUAGAUGGGUUGGAAAUUUGUCACCUUAUCAUUUGUUUCAAGCACCAGCAUCUAAAAAGCCUGAUUCAUCUAUUACUCUCUUGUCAUAGCAUUCAAAAUGUACCAGGCAAUUAAACUUUCAUUACCAGAAAAUAGUGUGUAAUCUACGUACAGAAGAAAAAAAGAAAACAUCAGCAAGAAUUCAUAUAGUUUCCUUGUAUUUUUUCCCCAUGAUUAAGAUCAGUUAUCAUAUUGAUCACAUAUGGAUCAUCCAGCUUUUGAUGAAGUUUUCAGUAACACAAUAAAGUGAGUACAACAUGGAGUUCAUGUGGUACCUGCUGAUGUGUGUGGUGUGCAGAUAUCCAACGCAGGAGCUCACACAUACAACCACGCAAAAGAAAGAAUCAUAGCUGAGUUAUUGUUUAAUCCAGUUCCCAAGCUCUGAAAGCAAUAAAAGCAACCAAAAAGAUAAUGAAUACUUAGUUUCUGCAACCAAUAGUCAGGGUUCAAUACUGAUAAGCAAAAUAUCUAGUUUCUGCGAAGAAACUGAUCAAAGUCAUCAAAAUCGAGAGUUUCUCAAAUUUUCAUUACCAUGUGACUAUAAGUUUUUGUCCUUGACAGCCCAACAUGACAUGACUUGGGAAUCCUGGCACAAGAAUAUUUUUGUACGAAGUAGGACCAUAGAUAUUAUUAUCGUGAAAACAAUAUUGAUUGCACUAUACACCCUUGAGUCCAUUCUAUAAUUAGAUGUCUUUCUUUCCAUGAUUGUCGAAGCAUUUGCAUUAAAUCGUACCCUGCAGUGGUGUUUUCAUCUUAGUUUCAAGCCAAGAGAAGUUAAUAUCUAAUACCGUACCUAGCUGGUGCUUGAUGAUAGACUACUCUGCUAGAUUUUCAGAUGAAUAUUAGCAGAGGGAAACCGGUAUAGAUAUAUAUAUAGUAAAAUAAAUAACCGAUAAAAAAAAUUUUAAUUGAAUUCAAUCGUAGAUUAUAGAGUGUCGAUUCAUAAAUAAUACAUAAUUAACAGGGCUAAAAGAUCUUAAUACGAAGCAAUAUUAUCAUAUAAUUGUAGUUAAAACAAGGGUUGUAAAUCAAUGUUAGAGAUUAGGGGCAAACCAGUAACAAUUGAAGCAUUAUCAAACUUCUUCAUCAUCCCAAAAGGGUCCUAUUGGGUUUACAAUAGACUAUGAUUCUAGGUUAAGCAAAUGUAGGUGUACACAAAAAACACACACAUAAGUUAUGCAAAGCCAAAGAGAAGGAGAUCCUCAAGAUUACUACAAGGUGAGAAGAGAGAACUUGGAAUGAAGUAACGACUAGGUGAGGUUCCUACAUAUGAAAACCAAGUCAUCUGAAGUUAAUCCUUUAGUCUGACCUUGAAAAUCUGACUUGGUAUUGUAUAGAUUGCAAAUAAUAGUACAUUCUUUUGCGGAUUCUUUAGCUAAAUUUGGUGUGCUUCGUUUCGAAAUACCUUGUAUUUGGUAGUCAAAUAUGUUCUUGUUUCUCUAACUAUACGCGUGUCUCAAACAUAUUAGGAUAUUGCAUACAUAUCGAUUUUCUGAUAUUAAUAAAAUUUGGUUUUCUUGACUGAUAACGAAAGAAAAAAAAAACAGUAAAUUCAUAUGUAAACGACCAAAUGCGCGUAUGCAUUACUGCAUAGGUGUACUAGACUGGAGCCAUUCAUUGUACCAUAGAUGCAUGCUUGUCUUUCUUCCUAUUGGAGUAUCAGAGAAAAUUUAAAAAUGGGGUACCACCAAUCAAUGAUGAUGGGACUCCAAUUUCGUAAUCCCAGUCAUCUAUUUUGUGCUUAUUAAUACUUGUAAAGGAGGAAAUUAUUACCAAAUGGAAAAGCACAUGGUAAGAAUUAUAUAUGUGUACUACUUGUUUGUCAUUGUGAAAAAGUACUGAGAUUUUUAUUACAAUUGUAAAAGGAAAGUUACAAAUCUGAAGUUAAGGUUAAGAAUCUCUUGUACCUUAAACUCUUGCUUUUACUAAUUCAUCUGCAAGUGAGUUUGUUUCUUUAAAGAUGUGAUUUUUCUUGUAUGAAGAACAAAAAUCUCGAAAACUUUUUCUCUACGACUAUAGCAUAUUGCAUUGCUUUUGAGGAAGAAUUAUAUUUGAUAUUCCUAGCUGAUUGGUUUUAUUAGGUUUGGAAUUUGAUUGAGUAUGUAAAAGCAUGCCAUCACAACUACCCAAGUAUUACAGCAGCCAAAUUCAAGAGAUCCAGCCUUACCAGAAAGUCAUAAUUUGCAAGCUAGCUUGGUAACUUCUGAACAUGAAAUAUUGAAGAAGAAAGUUGUUGACAUGGUAGUUCUAUGUUAGCAGUGAGAAUAUGGAGUUUAGAUAAGGGACUGACAUGAAAAUUGGAGAGGCAGAUAUGUUCAGAGGCAGACUAGAAAUGGAUAAUGUGAAUGAUGAUUGCACUCAGGGGCAGAGAUCAAAAAGGGGGCUUAAUUAACUAGUUAAUGAAGAGAUAUGGAAACUAGUUGAAGAUUGAAGAACUGAUUGGAGAAGCAAAACAAACUAAAGGCUCAAGUUCCAAUGCUGACUAGUUACAGAAUCAUACACAUAAAGCUUUCUAGACUCAGAGCCCAGAAAGAUUUUUCUGCUGAAACGAAACAGGAAACUGACUCAGAGCUACAGUAAGAACUUGACCAAGAGAUAUAUUCAACAGAAAGAAGGCCUAUAUGCAUGUUACAAAUAUGGCUUAACCCUUAAUUUUUCUCUUGGCAGAAAGACAAACUAUUCAAAAGAUUUUCCAUGAUAUCUUUGUAAUAGUUGAUAAGUCAGUGGGCCAAUCAGUUUGGCUAAUAAGAAUUUAAUGCAAUGAACGGCUAAGCAGGAAGAAACUAGGGCCAUAUACCCUUAACGUAUAGGGCACAGAAUAUGAGUACCAAAAGCUUGGAAAGUGAUGGAGGCACACAGAAAUCCAUAACUUUUUGUAGAUUGAAUUAUCACUUUCUUGGCUGAAGAAGCAAAAUUUUACUGAUAUUGUGAACAACUUUCUGGGGUACUAGCUAGUAUUAUGAGAAAUAGGUGGGACUGCACAGUCUAUAGAGAGAGAGAGAGAGAGAACAUGGUGAAGGGUCCAAGUUGCAAGAUGCGUCUCUGGUGGUUGGUCCACCAACAAGGGGUGAUGGGUGAUUAAUGCAAAAGCUAUCCACAACACAAACAAUAUUAUGGCAAUGCCAAUGUGACAUGUUCCCACCAUGAUCUCUCUUUUCCACAUUGAAGUUCCUCAGGGCAGUUCCAAUUUUCAACGAUCUAGUAAUUCUUAAGGACAAAAUCCACUUGGAAGAAUGUCCACAAACUUUUUUUUUUUUUAAUUUUUAAAAUUGCUUAAUCAAAUA